AAGUUAAUGUUAGAUGCGAGAUGGGGUUCACAAAAGAUUAAGGGGUCAAACUUACUUACUUUUACUUUGACGCUAAAAAGAAGAGUUUUAGAUUUAGCUGCUUUUUGGAUAAAAAGAUAAGAGUAAACUGAGAAUGAUUACCUAAAUGAGUAAGGUAAUUGAAUUAUUACCUAAAUGAGUAAUAUUAUCGCCUUGUCCUAGAUAAACCAAUUAUUAAUUAAUGAUUAAGUAUCUAAUGUUAGACCCGAAGCCUAGUGAUCUUACCAUGAUCAGGGUUAUAAAGGCCCGAACGGGUUAUCGUUGUAAAGAUAUCCGAUGAAUUGUGGUAAGUUAGUGAAAGACAAAACUGACUAGGAUA
rnacentral:rRNA from 1 species